rnacentral:rRNA from 1 species
GACGAACGCUGGCGGCGUGCCAAUACAUGCAAGUCGAGCGAAGCGGCGGACGGGUGAGUAACACGUGGGUAACCUGCCCAAGAGACUGGGAUAACACCUGGAAACAGAUGCUAAUACCGGAUACUCUUGGAUGGACCUGCGGUGCAUUAGCUAGUUGGUAAGGUAACGGCUUACCAAGGCAAUGAUGCAUAGCCGAGUUGAGAGACUGAUCGGCCACAUUGGGACUGAGACACGGCCCAAACUCCUACGGGAGGCAGCAGUAGGGAAUCUUCCACAAUGGACGCAAGUCUGAUGGAGCAACGCCGCGUGAGUGAAGAAGGGUCUCGGCUCGUAAAGCUCUGUUGGUAGUGAAGCGGUAAUUACUUAGAAAGUCACGGCUAACUACGUGCCAGCAGCCGCGGUAAUAC